rnacentral:rRNA from 1 species
UACAGAGGUCUCAAGCGUUGUUCGGAUUCAUUGGGCGUAAAGGGUGUGUAGGUGGCGCCGUAAGUCGGGUGUGAAAAUUUCGGAGCUUAACUCCGAAACUGCAUUCGAUACUGCGGUGCUUGAGGACUGGAGAGGAGACUGGAAAUUCAUGGUGUAGCAGUGAAAUGCGUAGAGAUCAUGAGGAAGACCAGUGGCGAAGGCGGGUCUCUGGACAGUUCCUGACACUGAGACACGGAAGGCCAGGGGAGCAAAACGGG